CCUACGGGGGGCAGCAGUGGGGAAUAUUGCACAAUGGGGGGAACCCUGAUGCAGCAACGCCGCGUGGGUGAAGAAGUACUUCGGUAUGUAAAGCCCUGUCAGCAGGGAAGAAAAUGACGGUACCUGACCAAGAAGCCCCGGCUAACUACGUGCCAGCAGCCGCGGUAAUACGUAGGGGGCAAGCGUUAUCCGGAUUUACUGGGUGUAAAGGGAGCGUAGACGGCAAGGCAAGUCUGGAGUGAAAGCCCGGGGCUCAACCACGGGACUGCUUUGGAAACUGUGUUGCUGGAGUGCAGGAGGGGUAAGCGGAAUUCCUAGUGUAGCGGUGAAAUGCGUAGAUAUUAGGAGGAACACCAGUGGCGAAGGCGGCUUACUGGACUGUAACUGACGUUGAGGCUCGAAGGCGUGGGGAGCAAACAGGAUUAGAUACCCUUGUAGUC
rnacentral:rRNA from 1 species